GAUGAACGCUGGCGGCGUGCUUAACACAUGCAAGUCGAACGGAAAGGCCUCUUUCGGGGGGUACUCGAGUGGCGAACGGGUGAGUAACACGUGAGUAACUUGCCCUUGACUUUGGGUUAACUUCAGGAAACUGGGGCUAAUACCGGAUAGGAGCUCCUGCUGCAUGGUGGGGGCUGGAAAGUUUCGGCGGUUGGGGAUGGGUUCGUGGCUUAUCAGCUUGUCGGUGGGGUAGUGGCUUACCAAGGCCUUGGCGGGUAGCCGGCCUGAGAGGGUGACAGGCGGCAUUGAGACUGAGGGGCGGCACAGGCUGCUACGGGUGGCAGAUGUGGGAAAGACUGAACGAUGGAUGGCGGCCUGGUGAAGAAGCGCCGUGUACGGUAUGACGGCCUUCGGGUUGUAGAACGCUUUCGCUCAUGACGAAGCUUUGUGUGACGGUAGUGGGUAAAGAAGCACCGGCUAACUACGUG
rnacentral:rRNA from 1 species